rnacentral:lncRNA from 1 species
GCCCAAUGGGACUCGAAACAUGUAAGUCAUUGCGUGGGCUUUGACCCGUACACACAUCAAAAUGUGUUCAUCACCUGCGCGUUCAUCCUGAACUUCAAAAGGUCUAUCAUAAGUUAGGUUAUCUCAUAAUCAUUGUUUCAUAAUCACAAGACAAGAAUGUCAAACCGGUAAUUGAAAAAAAAAAUAAAUCAGUAUACUAUUGUUUCAUUAAUUAGCAAAGGAAAGUGGCAACUUUUAAGAUAAGUUAGCAAAAUAAUGCAAUUCUUAUACAGAUGGCUGUACAGCUGUAGAGCCACCCUUUAGUAUAUUGGCAGAGUAAAAAAGGAUCACAAUUUAUCUUUUUUCUCUGAAUAAGUUAGAAUGAUCAUUAUUUACACAUCCAAACUCUGGUUGGUGCUAUGGCUAACGUAUAAGCAACAUUCUUAUAACAAAAAACAAACAAAUGCGAGUCAAAUGGGCUAGGAUUGGAAUAACAACGGAAUUCAAGUUUUUUUUUUAUCGAAAUUCAAGUUAAUAGAACAUAACAAUGUAAAAGAAUUUCAUUUAGGAAUCCAUCUUCCUCAUUCUUUGUAUUCCAACCAUAAAUUUAUGACUUCCCAUCAAAAUUAUUCAGGAUAUAUAGUUACUAGUUGACAUCAAGAAGCCCAAUCAAUGAUAGCGCAUGCUCAUAGAAAUAAAGGCCAUGAUGCAAGCAUCCAGACAUUUUACAUGGGAUGAUAAUCAACCAAGCAAUUAAUUAAUAUUUAAAUUAAUGCCACAAGUAUACCAUUUCACUUUCAGAAGAAAGCAGAAAAAUACAAAUAUUUGUGCACAAGGUAUAGUGCGUCAUUGAUAAGAAAGUACACUCAAAUCGGUGAGGCCAAUAAUGAAGAAUCCAUGUACAAGGGAUGCCCACAAAUGCGCAAUGCUGAGAAGACUAUCUCCAGUGGUCGUCUUCGACUGCAGUGAUUGGAUUUACUGGAUUUGAGCCAAUUUCGAUGUCAACCACGAAAGAAACCUUACAAUCUCACUCAUAACAUGCAUAAAUGAGAGUAGGUGUUCAAUGGUGGGAAAAGGCGGAGGAGGAAGAUCAGUAAGAGGGGAGACGAGGAGUCGGCAAUAGGAGUAUAGGUGGAGCAGGCAGGAGUGAGUAUGGGAGGAGGUGGAGGAGAAAGAGGCAGAGAAGUGGGAGGCUUACAUUUUUUUCAUUUCAUUUUUCAUUGAUCAUAUAAAGACCCGUUUUACUAAUUUAAUUCAUCUAGGAUCCACG